CUGUAAGAAUUAGCUUUUUAUUAGAUUUUAAGAUCUGAACAAAGAUGAAAUGCAGUUUAGAUUUCACCUGGCCCCAGCAUGGGCUGCUUUAUUGUCACCCAAGUGAAGUCCUAAAGCGAAACCAGAGUCUGGAUGUGACCGGCACUAACCUGCUCCUCAGAGGCGACCAGCCCAUGAUGGCGGAUUUCAUCACAAGGCGACUUGGCACUGAGCUACCAUUUGCUGGUCACAUCGGGCAAUCAUGUUGCUCUUACUACGCAGAAAUCCAAAUCUUUGUCCAAACUCAACCUCUUGAUUAACUUUCAUUUAAGUAGAUGUUUAUUUUUGAAAGGGUGAGUUUUCCUUCUUUUUUUUUUUUUCUUUCUUUGCAGCUGUCUUGGCGCUGUCUCAUUCCAGCUUGCAGAGGAAGCUUCUGAGUCAGAAAUGGGGUCAAGCCGUGUUUCUGGUGACGUUCCCAGAGCUCUGAGAAAGACGGACUCUCCUGGGACUUGAUGCCUGCUUCUGCAAACAGCUUGCAGAGAGCCACGAGAGAAGUGCAUCAGGAUUCUGCCAAAGCACUGGUGUAGCCCACCCUUGACCGUAUUUGAAAGACCCUUAGCACCCUCCAUAAACGAACAUUUCCAGAAAGCCUUGCUCAUGGGAAGAGGAAGCAUAAAAGACCGAGAAGGAAGCAGCCUGGGUUUGUGCUGAUGCCAGAAACUGUCUUUGAGGGACCAGAAGCCUGAGGUCUGCAGGGGAGGAAUGCUGACAGAUGCGCACAUUUGCUUGGGCGUAGGUAGCGGCCUGCAUCCCGGGAAGCGUGGCCCUGCUUUCAAAUGGGCUGCGUGUCAUAGAAGUGGAAGCCAGCUCUCAGAACAAGAGGCCACUGGAUCACGAAGCAGCUGUCUGGCAGCCCUUUUUCCUAUGCAGCAGCCGUCCCUGAGUUGUGACUGUCACCGCUCAGCAGUUUCUCAAGGCCUCGUUUAUUUGGCGCAAGAGACAGAGCAGUCCUGGCUCGGCUUGUCUCAGAAGCCGGAGUCCUCAGAGCCAAGGGGAGCUCACGACCUUCCUAACAGCUCUUGCUGAGAAUGGAGGAUGUUCUUUUGCCCUUUCUAGGAGCGGAAUUUUCUGCAGAAGACAAGACAAUGGUAAAAGGAUGCCUGGAGCAGACACAUAGUUCCUGGGGGACCAGAAUAAAGGGGUUGUUCUGGAUUCUUGCCCUGCUCUCUACUUUCCAGAUGCCACGAGUGUUCACCGGGACCCCCAUAUUUUGACAGAUCCUGACGGGACUCGUUGGACUUCUUGCCAGAGCGGAGAUUUUUGUCCCUGAAGCCGAUGGUCUAUGGCUAUUGUGACGUCCAAAAGGGAAGAACUGCAGAGGAGACAUCCAAACGUCUUCACCUCUUAAACAACCUUGGGAAAGGUGGGGUAGAUUUGAGAGUUCGCUGGAGGUGCAUUCACACUACUUUCAGCCCCACUUGAAAAAAUUGCCUUCCUCUGUGUAGGGAGGAUUUGCUCAGCUGGAGUUUUCUGCACAAGAAGAUUUGAGCACAAGAUAACAAGAUUCUGUCUGCUUCUUUUUCUGCGGCUGCAUGUAGCUUUUCAAUUUUUUCCCAUCUACAGUGAGUACUAUCUGCUACACCUACGUGGUUUUCAGAACCAUACAUCCUCGAUUAAGACCUGUAAUAAGAUUUAGGGCUAAGGCACAGCAGCCUGACAGCCCAAUUACUCCAGAGUCUCAACACACCCAUUACGUGCUCCAGAGUGCCCACUGUGAAAUAAUGGAAAGUCACACCGUGUCCUUCAAUAAGGGCUUUGACAUUACUGCACCUCAGUCUCCUCAUCUCUAACAACAGAAAGCAAUGAUCGCGCUGUUCGCUACGUGCAUUUGUUCUCUUCAUCACACCUGAGCAUUGUAAAAUGCCAACAGAUGGACUGAAAGAGGAAUAUGCUGGAGGACGUCAGGUUCUGGACAUCACUAGAGGGAGCCAGAGAUAACCGAGCAGCCAUCAUUUCCAAAUAUACCUUUGUCGUGCUUGAAUGUCAUUUGCUCAACAUUGACACCCGUCUACACUAAAUUCAUUAGACGAAUUUGUCACUUGCUUCUAAAGAUGUGUACAAUAUAAUCACAGCUCUCAAGAAACAUACGAUCUAAAUGAAAAAACAAACGGCAUACACUAAAACCCCAUUAAAAACCUAAUCUGAAUGCUUUAGGGUAGGCCCAGACCGUUGGUGCUAUAGAAUAUCUGAGAGUCAUCUGUCCCUUCAAGAUGUCAUCAUUUGGAACGGUUCCAUGCAUUGGACAGGAACUUUCUAGGCUGAGCAGGGUUCGGAGCACUAAACAGCACUGCAGACAAAUGUACCAGGAGAGACGGAUCCAGGAGAGAUGCUGCUGAGUGUCCAUCUCUGUUGUAGAGGGCUUGUGUUUGCCACCUCGUUCUUUCUCUCUGAGCCACGACUCUGACUGAGCUAUAGCCAGUAGCGAAUGUGCAAGGUUCCCAACUGCUUACUGGAUUAAAAUGAAUGCCAUAGACUGGCAUUGCAUGCUUGAGUCCUUCUCUCUGGAAGCAAAGAUGGAAAGGGUUGGACUACCAAAGGAGUGAGCAAGCCACAAAUGGGCCAGAUCUUGAUGGUACUGGGGAGCCACAGAAGGCUCCUGAGCAUGCUUUAGAAUCAUAAUUGAAAUAAUUUCAUGGACAUGAGGUCUAUGAAGCCAAGACUGACAACUUUUAAUCUUGAAAAAUGGAUCAACGUAAACCUACUGAUUGGUAGGACACUAGAAUAAAUUUGUAAUUCAACUUCUCCAAAAUUGGUCGACACAAUGGUACAGUACUGAUCACCAUUGAUCAUGUUGAGUGGUAAUUGACUGGUAGCAAAAGUGACAUCUUCAUGAUCGCUCUGAUACUUACUCCUGAUGAUAACAUUCAAAAUUGACAACACCUAAUCUGACUCAUCAACUACUGCUGGCAGUAUGCACUGGGACAACUCUCUGGAUAUGCAUUAAAAACUAUGAAAAGUAUCUACACCUCAUGAUAUUGAAGCUGCCCUCUGAGAAUGUACCAUAGACAAAGAUUACCCAUGUGGAUGGACGGCUUUGUCAAAUUGCUAAGAUCUACUGAAUCUUACACUUGAACUUUGUAGAUUGUACAGAGGGGAAAUUUUAGUUCAGUAAAGCUAUUACUUUAAAUUUAAAAAUACCUACAUGGAUAGAAGGAUUGAGAAGCACUCAUAUGUUCAAGUCAGCAAUUUCAUGACAAGAAAUAAUUGGGCAAUCAUAUAAAAUGUCCACUUAUUGCAGGAAAUGCCCUCAGCAGAAAAGUGUUCAGAACAGCAAGAUUUUGAUGAUGGAGACUGACCCCAGGUCAUCCUGAAAAUGUACUCACUAGCAUUGCCGGGAGAAAAAUCCUGAUCAUGGAUCUUCAAGAGCACUUCUUCAAAGAUUCUAAGUGCUUACAUGAUUCCUGGAAGAUGGUGCAAACAGUGAGCGCAGAUGGACAAAUGACAGAUGCAGAUCUCAGGCACUGCAUAUUUGAACACCAGAAAAUACAGACCAGACAGCAGUCUCCAUUCUUUCUCCACUGUCCUCUCACCUCCCCAUCGCAGUGUGUGCAGGUUCUGUGCCACACCCUCCCGCCAUGGUGUGCUGCCUCACCACGGGCCUCAAAGCCAUGGAGCGGACCAACCGUGGACUGUGAUCUCCCACACUGGGAACCAAGAUGAACACUUCAUCUUUGUAUAAUGAAUGUCUUCAAGCAGUGGCCCACAGAUUCCCCGCGCUUUGCCCCAAGGCUUUCUUCAUCGCUGCUCUGAAGGCUCCCUGGAAACUUCUGGAAGCUAUCCCGAGAGCACACUACCAAAGCAAACACACCUUUUUAUGAGCUACAGCUAGCUCCUCUACAGCUAGCUUUUAUCAUUGCAUAGGAGAUACAUAAAAGUCCCAAGGCCCUUCCCCAGUGCAGGGAUUUGGUGGCUUUAAGAGCUGAUCCUCCUCCUCCUGCGGAGUGGCUCUGCCAGUGUUAUACAAAAUCACACCCACGGCACCCUGUGUACUGUGGAGCUGGCAUAGAUAUUUUGAAACUAGACAGACCUUCUGCAGUGUUUAGUUUUGGGCAGAAUUUAUGUUUUUGGCUGGUCGCCACUGUGAAAUGUGUUUAGCUUUAACUGACAGGCCUGGUCAACACCACAGGUCAGAGGUAAGUCUGGCUUAUUCAGAAGAGGUGAAGGCCAGUCUCAACCUUGUUCCAGUUCUCAUUUUGCUCACCUUACUUCCUCAGGGCAGGUUAAUCUCAACAAAAUAUUUCUGUCCUCCCACCUGAUUUUCUGAUAAACACAUUCAGCCUUGUGAGGAGAUUGUGCUUCAGCAACCAGGAAUGCAGAGGUUGGUAGAAGCUAUUCGGGGAGUGCUACGGGGAGGGAUUUGGGUCAACAUCGAAGAUGAAUCUCUGGACACGGUGUGGGGAAGAGGGCUUCUGGGAGACACCUUAGUGAAGUAUCCUGGCACUUUAUUCCUAAAACAAGGGCUUGCGCAGUGUUCUAGAGCAAUUCAGCAGGUUGCUGAAGAGACCGUGAGAGAACAAGAGCACCAGCAACUUGACGGAGGCUUUGACGCUGUCUUCCCAGUGUCACUGGAGCUCAGGGAGCUUUUGUUUUGUUUUUCUUCCAAAAGGGAAUUGCAACAAAGCUAUCUUGUGACUGCUUUUUUAUUCAGUUCAGUGAAAAUGGCUGUACUCUUUCCUACUAUCUCAACCAGAUGCCACACUGGGAAAGUGUCUACUUCCCAAACGAGAAGUGCGAUCCAACUGUUAUGAGCGCCAAAGAAUCUCUGUGGACUUGGCCACUUGGUCGUCGGAGGGCAUGGACGUGGUGCUAAUGCUGUGUCCCCGGGACUUAAGAAUGGCGUUGCGGAAACCACAAAAGUGAAGGUCAUUCACAGAGUUUAUCAAUUUGACUCAAAA